rnacentral:snRNA from 1 species
GGACAUGAGGGCAAUCGGGCUGCAACAUCUGUCACUUCAUUGAUCGACAGGUUUGAUCUGGCUGGCGAGUCAGGUGUCCCCUUCUCGCUCAAUGCUCCAUGUGUGCCCCUCCCAAAUCUGCUCACUGGGUGAAAGAGGAGGACCGUUCCUCGGUCAAGGACAUGCACGUAGCUGUGCUCCCCUGUUAGAAACUCCAAACAAGCUCUCAGACUGAGUGACUUUUGCCAGUGUGAGUUGUUACAAAUGCCAAGCCUGGUCAGCUCCCACUCUUU